rnacentral:lncRNA from 1 species
ACGAAAUGCUGACCCUGAAGUUGCUUCUCAUUCACAAAUAGUAAAAAGUUGUUUCUCCAGUCUUUUGGGAACACAGGACUUAAAAGUCACAUCAUGUGUAGGAAUUACAUGCAGCAUUGCCCGGGCGAGGCAAAAAGCGUUUGUCUGGCUUGUGGCGCUGCCCUUGUUACCCUCCCCUGGGAUUUUCAGAGGUACACGGUUAGAAUGCUACAAUGUUACCACUGUGCCUUCCAAUGUUUAUAUCAUCGGAAACAUAACAUAAUCAAAGUGGCUGUGAUUUAACAAAAAAAACGAUUCAAGUGUUACCUACCUGUGUAGCCGAAGUAGUGUGCAGUGACCGAGACGUUUCUGAAUACAUGGUCAGAUUUUUUUUGGAAAAAAUACAAAAAUUAAAAAAAAAAAAAAAAAAGAAAAAAAGAAAAAAAAACUAAAAAAGAAAGUCAAGUUCAAAAACCGUCAAAUGAGAAAAUUGCAAGGAGUGUGACAGAGCUGAUUGAUUUUUGUUGCUUUCUUGAUUUUUUUUUCAAAAUGGGUUUACUAAAAAGUAGAUGACUUACCUGCCUCCUCCUUCGUCUGAAAAAAAAAAAAAAUGCCAACCAAUCAUGCAGCAUUAUAACAAGCCUUAUAAGCCCUAAAGCAUUAAGUUGCACUUUUGUGAGGAGGGGUAACGCAGUAUUCUCUCUGGCCAGUAUGAGUGAAGUUUAUACUUAACAUUUGAUAGAAACAUAGAUCAAACUACGGCACAGCAACUCAUCAGAUAGCUAGCGUUGACUCUGGGCACAAUUGAACCAAUUCCCAUCGUAAGUCUUUCCAACAAUGGACUUUGGUGUGUAGUGCAGUGAACACAUAGGACUCCUACGUAAGCAUUUGUCAGCAUCCUUUUGUCUCUAACUCGGUUCUGUUUUGACAGCCACACAAUCUUGGCAUGUAUUAAGGAAAAAAAAAAUCCCUGUUGAAGUAGUUUUUCCACCUAUCAGCACUGAGUAAAUGCCAUAACUCCGCGGAAAUGGUCUAAAUACCCCAUUUGUUGUCCUGAACUACCAGUUACAUAGUGACGAAACACAUCUGUAAAUUUUAUGCAACCAAUGGCAAACCUAUCAUUAUUUUGAAACUGUGUAUGUAAAAGUUAUAUUUUUACAUGUAGACUCUUGUUAUUAUGUGUUUUAAUACAUUGUAUCAGUUUUUUGUUUUUUUUUAAACUGUGUGGUUUUAAAAAGUCAUUUAAAUGAAAUAGUGAGCU